rnacentral:rRNA from 1 species
GACGAACGCUGGCGGCGUGCCUAAUACAUGCAAGUCGAACGCAGUGGGGACGGGUGAGUAACACGUUGGUAACCUCCCAUCCGCGGGGAUAACACUUGGAAACAGGUGCUAAACCGAUACUGAUGGAUGGACCCGGGGUGGAUUAGCUAGUUGGUGAGGUAACGGCUCACCAAGGCCACGAUGCAUCGCUGGCCUGAGAGGGUGACCGGCCACACUGGGACUGAGACACGGCCCAGACUCCUACGGGAGGCAGCAGUAGGGAAUCUUCGGCAAUGGACGAAAGUCUGACCGAGCAACUCCGCGUGAGUGAAGAAGGUUUUCGGGUCGUAAAGCUCUGUUGUUAGAGAAGCGGUAUCUAACCAGAAAGCAACGGCUAACUACGUGCCAGCAGCCGCGGUAAUAC